UACAGGGGGUGCAAACGUUGCUCGGAAUCAUUGGGCGUAAAGCGCACGUAGGCGGUUCGUUAUGUCGGAUGUGAAAGCCCUUGGCUUAACCGAGGAAGUGCAUCCGAAACUGGCGAGCUAGAGUACGAAAGAGGAUCGCGGAAUUCCCGGUGUAGAGGUGAAAUUCGUAGAUAUCGGGGAGGAACACCGGUGGCGAAGGCGGUUCUCUGGGCAUGUCCUGACGCUGAGGAGCGAAAGUGUGGGGAGCGAACAGG
rnacentral:rRNA from 1 species